UCCCCAUCUUCCUUAAAAAUCUCCAACCAAAAUCCAUUCUUCUCCUUAUAACUUCUUCCACAACGCAGCUUUCUUUUUGUAGCUGCAGUUAUUUUCAUCUCCUCCACCAAAAAGCAUUGAGAGGAGAAAACCGAGAGAGCUGUGGAAUUAAUUUUUCUUGUUAUCCUCUUCUUCUCAAAGUUGAGAGGAAACCGUGACUCUUUUAGUACCUCCUGCUUGUGCAAAAUUUUCUUUCAACCAAAGGGUGAGCUUGUGUACGUUGUUGGCGGUUGGAAUAAGAGGUGAUUGAGGAGUAAGCUUGUGAGAUUGAGCGACGACGGGCGUGGAGGAUGUUGAGCAGAAUUCAUGGAUUAAUUAUGUUUAGCUUAAUAUUGUGGGAUAUGUCGUGUCUUCAUACUCGGCAUUUUCCGUGUCUUGAACGCUUCCGCUAAGUGUCUUUUCUUUAGAAUUGUUUUAGUAUUGAGAACCUAACUCUUUUCAAAAUUGGUUACUUUCUAGUCUUUAUGUCUUUAGGGUUGGUACCUUGUUGAAAUGAUACUACGUUGUUUUUUCUAUGUUAUUUCAGUUAUUAAAAUG